AAAAAUCUGCAUCAAUGGUUAUGUUUUAUUGCUCGAAGAUAAGUUUAGGGAGAAAGAAUAUAUCAGUGAAAAACCUUUAGAAGACAGUACUUCAAGAAAAGAAAAGAAAAAAAGGCAAAAUCUCAGCAGCAUCUGGUCAUUUUGCAUGGCCUAAUCAUCAAUAGCAUAUGUUUUUGGCUCGUGUUUGUGAUUUGGGUAAAGGGGGACGGUUUCUGAUGUUCUUACUACCAUUAGAAUAAACAUUGGUGUUUGGAGAUGUCUUUUGGCCAGAAGCAGCAAAUGGAGAGAGCAAUAGGGAAGGACUCUCCACCUGGGUCUGCUUUGAACCUGAUGAGGUGCUGGUGGUACUAUUCCCACCCUCUUGAACUUGCACAUUUGGCUCAGGAGUCUUACUGUCCUGAAACAAUCAAAAGUUGAUGUACUAUUAUUAUGGGACAAGAACUACUACAAACAUUAAAAGCAGGAACUUAACUCUGUUUAAUUUGUUCAUCUACUUGCUUAAACAUAAUAGAAAACUAGAAUAGAUUUGACAGAUGUCUGAUUACAACAUCA